rnacentral:lncRNA from 1 species
UUUCUUUAUUCUCAAUGAAGAUUUAAGAAGUUAUUCAUAAGCCUGGCUCAACUGCUGUCUACAAGAACUACCCAAACCCUUAUCUAGGUACGCUCUCUAGUGCGAGGGUAAACUUAUUCCCCAACACCCAUCUGGGUAUGCUCUCCAGUUCGAAAGGGUAGUCUAAUUCCCUAACACCCAUCUGGGUAAGCUCUCUAGUGCGAAAGGGUAAACUAAUUCCUCAGAUAUUCCCAGACACCUAUCUAGGUAAGCUUUCCAGUGUGAGAGGAUAAACUAAUUUUUUGACACCCAUCUAGGUGUACUCUUUAAUGGAAUGGGAGAAACUGCCCAUGUAUUUCACACUACCACUCAUUUUGAUGUGAUUAGUUAACAAUUUUCAUAUUCCACAAAUCUUUAUCAUGUUGUGAUGCAGGCCACACAGCUUAAAGGAACAAAUACUCAAAGACCAGCUAAGCAGUAAAUGGUCAGGGGACAACAGUCGACGAUGAACUUAACAGCUCGACGACAUGAAGCCAAAACUCACGGCCAUAGUGACUUUAUAAGAUUGUUAGCUUUUUUUAAAUCGGCGUGCCCAAUCAACAGUUCUAUCGCUAAAAGUUUUGCAAGACACUUCAAGCAAGUAAAGUUUCAAGAAAAAUGAAGUUGAAGUA